rnacentral:rRNA from 1 species
GACAGAGGGUGCGAGCGUUGUCCGGAGGAAAUGGGCGUAAAGCGCGCGCAGGCGGCAACCUCAGUGGCGUGUGAAAGCCCCAGGCUCAACCGGGGGAGGCCAUGGCAUACUGGGUCGCUCGAGCUGCGGAGAGGUCCCUCGAAUUGCCGGUGUAGCGGUGAAAUGCGUAGAGAUCGGGAGGAAGAUCAGUGGGGAAGCCAGGGGGCUGGCUGCAGGCUGACGCUGAGGCGCGUCAGCGUGGGGGGCAAACCGG